rnacentral:misc_RNA from 1 species
UGAUGUCAUUAAUACAUGGAAAGUGGACAAUGCAAAGAAAAUAUCUAUCAAAACAUGACAAGGCAACGGAAACUUAAUGACUUCAUUAUGAAUGUGACCAAAUCCAUAUUCCAAGAUAUUAUAAGUAUGGAUAGUGUCAUAAUGAAAAUAAUGAAUUUUGCACAGCGUUUAGUUAGUGCUGACAGGGCGUCUCUGUUUCUGGUUGACAACAAGAGCCAGGAACUGUAUGCAAGAAUUUUUGAUGUGGGUGAUGGCCAAGGCAGCCAGGUAGUCACAAAAGAUCAGAAAGAAAUCAGGUUCCCAAUUGGUAAAGGAGUUGCCGGGCAUGUUGCAACCUCAGGUGAGAACCUUAACAUACCUGAUGCAUACCUGGAUGAAAGGUUCAACAAACAGGUGGAUAUCCAAACUGGGUAUGUUACGAAGUCUCUGCUGUGUAUGCCAAUCAAGAUUAGAGGACACAUAAUUGGUGUGGUACAGAUGGUAAAUAAAAAGAACGGUGCAUUUACACAGGCAGACGAACAUGCCUUUGAAACGUUUGCCGUGUACUGCGGCCUGGCGUUGCACCAUGCCAAGCUGUACGACAAGAUUCGACGGUCAGAGCAGAAACACAGGGUUGCCUUAGAGAUACUGAGUUACCACAGGCAAUGUUCAGAGGAAGAAUUCAGAAAGCUAAAAGAUAUGCGAGUGCCGGAGCCAAUACCAGACCUGGCUAGGUAUGAUUUCUCCCCAUGGGGACUUGAUGAGGAUGCUAAACCUUUGUAUGUACUAUGUAUGUUCAAGGAGCUGUUUGAUCUGCAAAGGCCUGGAAAAGGUCCAUUGACAUUUGAAGAAAGAUUUGAUUACCACGAUCUUUGUCGGUUUGUGUUGACUGUCCGGAAGAACUACCGGCAAGUUCCGUAUCACAACUGGACGCAUGCCUUCUCUGUCGCACAUACUGUUUACACUAUUAUUAAGAAGUCAGACCCUAACUGCUUUACAUUUUUUGAAUCGCUGGCAUUAUUCAUAGCCUGUCUCUGUCACGACCUUGAUCAUCGAGGGAAAAGCAACUCAUUCAUGGUGAACAAUGCUACGCCUUUAGCAGCGAUCUACUCUACAUCAACAAUGGAGCACCAUCACUUUAACCAGACUGUCACCAUUCUGCAGAGUGAAGGUCACAAUAUUUUCCGACAUCUGACAUCGGCAGAAUACAAAACCGUUCUCAAUGAAAUACGACAUUCAAUAUUAGCAACCGAUCUGGCGCUGUUCUUUGGAAAUAAGAGCAAGCUGAAGGCACUCAUCGACAAGAAUGAGUUUAAUUGGGAGGAACAGGAUCAUAGACUGUACAUAAAAUCGAUCACCAUGACAGCUUGUGACCUGUCAGCCAGUAGUAAGCCCUGGCCAAUCCAACAGCAGACAGUAAAAGUCAUAUUUGAUGAAUUCUACCAACAGAUCAUUAGCACACGCCAUUACUAUGACAGGGUGUGAUUUAACAGCCAUUUGCAAACCAUUUGAUCUACACUGCCGAGUUGCCUAUAAAAUAAGUGAAGAGUUCUAUCAACAGGGAGAUGAGGAGAAAGCUCAGGGACAGGCACCGAUACCCAUGAUGGAUAGGGACAGAGCUCAUGAACUACCUGCCAACCAA